rnacentral:rRNA from 1 species
AGAGUUUGAUCCUGGCUCAGGACGAACGCUGGCGGCGUGCUUAACACAUGCAAGUCGAGCGGUAAGGCCUCUUCGGGGGUACACGAGCGGCGAACGGGUGAGUAACACAUGGGUGACCUGCCCCCUACUCUGGGAUAAGCCUGGGAAACUGGGUCUAAUACUGGAUAUGACCUCCUGCUGCAUGGUGGGUGGUGGAAAGUUUUUUCGGUGGGGGAUGGGCCCGCGGCCUAUCAGCUUGUUGGUGGGGUGAUGGCCUACCAAGGCGACGACGGGUAGCCGGCCUGAGAGGGCGACCGGCCACACUGGGACUGAGACACGGCCCAGACUCCUACGGGAGGCAGCAGUGGGGAAUAUUGCGCAAUGGGCGGAAGCCUGACGCAGCGACGCCGCGUGGGGGAUGACGGCCUUCGGGUUGUAAACCUCUUUCGCCAGGGACGAAUUAGGACGGUACCUGGAUAAGAAGCACCGGCCAACUACGUGCCAGCAGCCGCGGUAACACGUAGGGUGCGAGCGUUGUCCGGAAUUAUUGGGCGUAAAGAGCUCGUAGGCGGUGUGUCGCGUCGGCCGUGAAAACUUGGAGCUUAACUCUGAGCUUGCGGUCGAUACGGGCAUCACUGGAGUUCGGCAGGGGAGACUGGAAUUCCUGGUGUAGCGGUGAAAUGCGCAGAUAUCAGGAGGAACACCGGUGGCGAAGGCGGGUCUCUGGGCCGAUACUGACGCUGAGGAGCGAAAGCGUGGGGAGCGAACAGGAUUAGAUACCCUGGUAGUCC